GUGGUGGCUGGCGGUCCGGCCGGUGGAGGUCGCGAUGGAAUAGAGGUGUUCAUGGCGGGGCGGCGGCGGCGCUCUUCGUCUUCCCCGGCGGUGGCGGUCUCGGCCCUAUCCUAUGGCAGAUCCUCUUCUCCUUCACAUGGCGCGGGAGGAGGGAUGGGAGGCCACCUUCCGAGGUCCCCGGCCCGAUCUGUAUUGCUGCCACCGCUUCGGCCUCUACCGCUGGCACCUCUACGCCAACUCUGUGUGGCGUCUCGCGUCGCAUGUAUUCCUUCCUGGCCCACAACCUAGACGAUGGGUCGCCGUACAUCCUUCUCUUGCCACCGAGAGGCCGAGAGGAGGUUGUUUCAGGAGAUGCCGACGUGAAUGUGGUGGUGCGGUCGUCAGCGUGCGAGACAGGAGGAGGCCUGACGGUGGUGCUGUGGCCUGUGGGCACUGUUAUAGCGUCGGAAGAUGAAAAAGACUUCCUCAAGCUGAGCCCCAACCCAAGUUUUGUUUGGUCAGACUACUUUCCUGUGGUGGCCAUCUCCCCUGUCGCUUCCUCCCCUACGAACGCGAUCCGGGUGAUGAUCGACGGCUCCAGCAGAAGCAAUGAUGUCACUUGGUAUUUCUAUUCCACUCCUUGCUGCACGCCUAUUCCCCAACUUUUUCUAGGAUAUUUGAUCUUGAAAAUUUAGUAAUAGUUCUCUGUAAUCCAUAGAGGUUAUAGCAUUGGAUCCACGCAGGUGUACUAGAUAUCUACAUCGAUGCAUUUUUAUAACUGAAAGUGUAGUCGCAUCAUAUACAGUUAUACACUUAAAUAUGUGAACUCUACACUAUUUAUUUGUGAAGUAGACCGUGAAUUGCAGAAUUUAGCAUGUUGAUCAGGGAAAGCUUCCAUAGAGGUCUGGUUUUGGAAUCAUAACUUAAAUAGUCUUUUCGCUUUAUUUAACCGAAAAUUGUAGUAUCCUUCGUUGAUGAGUUCCUGGAUCAGGGGUAGUGUGUGCUCAACAUCUCAAGUGUAUUGAUGGAUACAAAAGAAAAAGGAUUCAGUUUUAAGGCAUAUGGUAUUUCCUUGUGAAGCCACUGAACUUAAUCUUCUCAGUGUGGUUGUCAAAUUUUUAUUCAAUCUUAGACAGUUAUUUCGCCAUUCCGUUAUCUCUGAUUUUGUAGGAACCAUCCCUACUAUUUAGACUUUAGACUUUGUUUAAAUCUAUUUGUUUGUUAUUCCUCUUGAUUCCGUUUUUCUCCUGAGGUCAUUAUUCUAAGCUUUGAGCCUGUUGAGUACCCAACCAGCUGAGCCCCGCGCGAGCUUUGUAGGCCGUUUGAUCCAAGGUAGAAGUUUAAAUUUGACAACCUGUAGUAAUCUGAUUCUUCUCAUCAAUAAUUUAGUCUGUUCUUGAAAGAAUUUUAAAUUUACAUAUUCUAUACUAUAUCCGAUUUGGAAUUUUCUAGGAGAGAAAGAUUAUGCCUUUUCUUAGCACUGCCUAACAAAUUUAGUCCGUUCUUUUCGAUGGUUGAAUGGAUCGAUGGGUGGUGCUCUAAGAUAUAAAGAUGACAGGGACGCUAGAUGAUGUAUGACACCGUGAUGUGAAGUAUAUUUGGGGAUUAUGGCUUGGUGUUACCUUGAUGAGAUGGCACAAUGAUAUGUAGGCAGAUUAAGGCAACUGUAGUUAUACAAGCAUGAGUUUCCACCUCAGCUGACUGUUGUCAAUAGCAACCAUGAGCUAUUGGUCAGUUGUACAUUGGCAUACUACGCUAAUUAUGCAAACGUCUCAUCAUGCACUGGAUAAACUGAAGUUCGUUUAGAUCAUCAGUCAUAUGCUUAUAAAAAAACUUAAGACAACAUGUUUCGUUCUCUGAUUUCUUGGUAAUCAUCGUUAAAUGCAAGUAGAAUGUCCUCUGCCCACUGUUACUGAAAUAAAUUGACAUAUACUUUAUCACACUUACUCGAUUAUUACAUUCUAUAUAUUCCCUCUUAUAUCUGACUAAGACCGGAUAUGCUAUUUGCAACCUAUCAUCUUACUAAUGAAACUAGCCUGCCAGAGCCCCUGUCAUUGUUACUUAAAUGAUUUUCCAUAUACUUUAGUCACGCUGGAUUUUCAGAUUCCAUUUGUUCCCUCUUAUACAUCUGACCAAGAUCAUAGAUGUUAUUUUCAAUCAUUCACUUUACUAAUGCUUUGCUCUAACUUAGUAGUAUGACAAGCAGUAGCAUGAAAAGUAAUAAUCCAUAUCUACUGACUAUUGUUAUGAGAAGAAUUAGAUUAGCUUUUUACAAAUAUGUAUUGAAGUUAUUAUAUUGGCUACAGGUGCAGACUAGACAAGCAACGGACAACGACAUGAUCUGCCAGAUUAGCCAAUUGCCAUCGCAAUCGCUCUCGGCUGCACAUCUACACCAGCUUUAUCAGGGCAAUGGAACUUCCAGUUGAAUGGACUUGCAUAAAGGAAGGAAAAUAGUGGCAAAUUUACUGUCAACUAACAGCAUUUCAAAUGUUUAAUCUCAACCUGCUCCCGUGUGAAUAUAAAUUGGUGUUGGUCCGGAGGCAUGUUGGUAUAUAUGGUAUCUAAAGGUCGAUGAACCUUUACAUGUGCCACUGGACGUUUAUUUGGUGGUCUUCUGAUUAAAUGCAUCCACCAAAAGUCGGCGACGUUGUUACUUUUUAGAGGACUCCCUAUCUGAAUAUUAUUUGAUAUUUUUUGUCUGGACCUAUGAUUCAAGAACUGUUACAACAACUACUUCCAUGUUAGUGAAUGUUUCUAUAUUGUGAAAUUUAUCUUAGUAGUCACAUCUGUGUUUAUCGUA